UAGGGAAUCUUCCGCAAUGGACGAAAGUCUGACGGAGCAACGCCGCGUGAGUGAAGAAGGAUUUCGGUUCGUAAAACUCUGUUGUUAGGGAAGAAAAAAUGUAUAGUAACUAUAUACAAAAGAUACGGUACCUAACCAGAAAGCCACGGCUAACUACGUGCCAGCAGCCGCGGGAAUACGUAGGUGGCAAGCGUUGUCCGGAAUUAUUGGGCGUAAAGCGCGCGCAGGUGGUUUAGAAAGUCUGAUGUGAAAGCCCACGGCUCAACCGUGGAGGGUCAUUGGAAGCUAAUAAACUUGAGUGCAGGAGAGAAAAGUGGAAUUCCUAGUGUAGCGGUGAAAUGCGUAGAGAUUAGGAGGAACACCGGUGGCGAAAGCGGCUUUUUGGCCUGCAAAUGACACUGAGGCGCGAAAGCGUGGGGAGCAAACAGG
rnacentral:rRNA from 1 species